ACACCCUACGGGGGGCAGCAGUGAGGAAUAUUGGUCAAUGGCCGAGAGGCUGAACCAGCCAAGUCGCGUGAGGGAAGAAUGUCCUAUGGAUUGUAAACCUCUUUUGUCAGGGAGCAAAGUCACCCACGUGUGGGUGUUGGGGAGUACCUGAAGAAAAAGCAUCGGCUAACUCCGUGCCAGCAGCCGCGGUAAUACGGAGGAUGCGAGCGUUAUCCGGAUUUAUUGGGUUUAAAGGGGGCGCAGGCGGAAGAUCAAGUCAGCGGUAAGAUUGAGAGGCUCAACCUCUUCGAGCCG
rnacentral:rRNA from 1 species